AAGUCGUAACAAGGUUUCCGUAGGUGAACCUGCGGAAGGAUCAUUGUCGAAACCUGCUUUGGCAGAACAACCCGCGAACACGUUCAUAACUUUAACACGUCGAGCCGAUGGCCCUUCGGGGCGUGAAACUCGACGUGGGUUGGGGGCCCCCGACAUCAAACAAAAACCAAGCGCGGAAUGCGCCAAGGAAAACCACAAACGUUCGGACGCUUUAACGUUCGGACCGACACACAACGACUCUCGGCAACGGAUAUCUCGGCUCUCGCAUCGAUGAAGAACGUAGCGAAAUGCGAUACUUGGUGUGAAUUGCAGAAUCCCGUGAACCAUCGAGUCUUUGAACGCAAGUUGCGCCCGAAGCCGUCAGGUUGAGGGCACGCCUGCCUGGGCGUCACGCGCCGUCGCCCCCUAAACCAUCCCGUCCCGACGGGAGGAAAGAGGGGUGCGGAGAUUGGCCUCCCGCACGCCAGUUGUGCGGUUGGCCCAAAAUGGCCUCACUGGCCUUCGUUGCUCGCGGCAUUCGGUGGUUUCGAUCUCUCGGUGCCCCGUCGCGUUCACGAAGGCUGCAGUGUAACCCCGAAAAGCGCAACGACGGAAACGUCGAGGCGCCCCAGACGAGACACCAGGUCAGGCGGGGCUACCCGCUGAGUUUAA
rnacentral:rRNA from 1 species